GAUUUCAAUGCUUGGCACCCUAAAAGACCACCCAUAUGCCAUGGCACAGUUACAAGAGUCCACAACGUAGCACCUGGCGUCUGUCACAGGAGAGUUGGUUGAGUCGAACCACCAUAGGAUGGAUACUGGCUAUGCACAAAUGGCAGCCAAUAACCAAUUGCUGCAUCAUCUCAAUGAGGAUGAUCCCGAUCGUCGUGAUGAAUUUGCGAAACCCGGUGUCACAGCAAUUGCAACAUGACCCACAUUUGUAAGAAGUGCUAUAGUAAAAUAAAAGCUGUGCUAUGACUGGUUGAUAUGGGCAAAAA